ensembl:lncRNA
UUUAUUUUUAUAAUCUUUAUUAGACAUUAAAUAUUAUUUCAUUUCCUUUUCAAUUAUUUGAGGUGUGGAUUUAAAAUGAAGCUGAAACAGAGUGGUUAUUGUAACCAAUCUAGGGAAAGAGAGAUACAUGUACAUUUUAAAAUAUAUAGUGAUCAUAGCUACAGAUACAGUGAUCAAAUCUAGUACAUAGUCUUGCUUUUUUUUUUUUAUUAAAAAGAGAAUUUAUCCUACAAAAUUAAUUUACCUUAAUGAUAACAAAUUCUAGAUUAGAAUUUUAAAGAUUUUUCAGGACACGUGAUAAUUGUAUAUUAAAAAUGCACAGCAUCUAUACAUCCAUUAUAUAAAUAUAGUUUUUAUAAUAAGACAAUGGAAAUAAGUGAUGUUUUAGCCUCCUUUCUUUAACCUUUCAGGGUAACAUUUCUUCAAUAAAGCAGAAGGGUGAUUGCAGCGAAGCUUUCUCACCAUGUCAAGCACAAAGCUCGAGUUCUUACACUGAGCUUGCAGGCCUUGGAAACACAUACAAAAAUACUCAACGCAGGUUACUCUCAGCUGCACAGAAAUCUUGUUCAAAUUUAAUUUUGUUGAAAGUUAGAUAGUUGAGAAUUCCAGGGAGUUUUACGUACAGGAAAAAAAUAGUUCUUUGUCUAGUUUCUGUACAAUUUCAAAUAUACUUUUGUCUUUGCUUCACAAGUUGCAUCGGUUAAUAACUGAGGCUAAAGAAAUAUUUAAAAAUUACAGCUUGACAUGUUUACAUUGAUCCCUGAUAAAUUCAUUCUUAUUGUCCACAAACACAUUCGUUCUUGCAAGGCCCCAGCUCGACCAGAAAAAGCACGGGCACGUUGCAAACCUAAAGACAACGAAUCAUGCUCCUUUAAAUCCCUCAUCAGAUAUGGACUUUUAAUAAAAAAGCUAACUAUCAGCGGACACCGGCUUUGUUUUUUUUUUCUUUUGCCUGUAAGCCGCUAAGAAACAGUUACAGCACAAACCAGCAGGUUUUAUUCAGUAUCCUCAAGGUAGCAAACAUUAAAUGAAGCAACUAAGAAACUAUGUAACCGCUAACCGGGCUCCGUACAAUGUUGCAGCCUUUCAGGAACCUUCGGUAGGUUAUCGAUCCGCUAGAGAUUUACCUCCAGUUCAGCCAUAGGUUGCAGGCAUCACCAUCUAUCGCUCGUCCUGCCGUUGACAACACUCCUCUUAUCCAUCGCUCCUGGAAGACAGAAGAUUCGUCAGUCCCGCAUGUCUGAUCUGCUUGGCGGCAAGAGCAAUGAAUAGAAUCGUUAUCAGCGGUCGGGGUUUGUUUGGUUGUUUUGGUUUUUGUUUUGGGUAUUUUUUUUUUAAGGGAAGUUCUCAAAGCGAGCGCCCUGCGAGCCCUUCACCCUCCAGGCGGAGCCGCUUGGGCAGCCCGUCGAACAACGGAGAAAGGCGCCUUUUUUGGCUGCUGGGGGCUCGCUGGGAUUUCCCCCCGCUCCAGACCCACGGCAGGAACCCGGGCGCGAUGUUGCAAGAAUAAGAACCAACAACGCGUGACACUGUGGCACUUACGCGCAGAUGCCAAAGCCCCCGGCAGCGCCCCGAGGUCCCUGGCUGGCUCCGAGGGAGCGGGCUGGGCUACGGGGGAGUCGCGAGGCGGGGAUGUGGAAGUGCCGGGCCUCCCCAGCGGGGCCGCGCUCCCCGGGGGCAUUUUGGCUUCGCUUGCUUCCCAUU